AAGUCGUAACAAGGUUUCCGUAGGUGAACCUGCGGAAGGAUCAUUACUGAGUGGCUGGCCGAGCGACCUGUGCGCGAAAGCGUGGGGGUUUUUGAGCGAGGCGGUUACCCGACCUUUUGUCAUUCGGGCUGGCGUGGUCUGGACGGCGGACUCCGGAAGGAGGAGGCCGAAGAGGCGACGACGGCAUCAUCAGGUUCGGCGGAGGAGGUGGGCGUUUCUGGCCUCGUGCGAGCGAGGCGAGGGGCGACCUGCCCGCCGUCGGUGGCAUUUCCAACCCUUGUUAGCAACGUGAAGUCUGAGCGAAGCAAAAACGAAAAGCAAAACUUUCAACAACGGAUCUCUUGGCUCUG
rnacentral:misc_RNA from 1 species